GAUACUGGCUGGAUUGUGUGUGUGUGUGUGUGUGUGUGUGUGUGUGUGUGUGUGCGCAAUUUUCUUUUAGGUUAACUAAUUAGUUAAAUAAAUAAAUGAGAAAAUAAAUAAAUAAAUAAAUAAAUGAGAAAAUAGGUAAAAGUAAUAAUAAGAAAAUUUGAAAGUAAAUAAAUAUAUAAAUAAAAAUAUAGGAAUAUUUAUGAGGUGGGGGAGCAGAAGGGGGGGUGGGUAAGCAAGAUUAGGAGUGCUGGUAGAAGUAGGGGGUGAAGGGGCGGGUGAGGAAGCUGUAUGGAUGACCACAAUAGGGGGGGCGGGUUGGGGUAGGAUGUGGGUGAUAUAUAAUUUGCUAAUAUUUGAACCCUUUAUAUACCGACAUGCAUACUGACACAUUUCUCUCAGACAGAUAAGCCUGGCUGGUGAGAGAGAGAGGGAGUGGGGGGUUCUGUUUCAUUAUAAUGUGGAUGAGGGGACAAGAGAGCCAGUGUUCCAAGUACCACCACCAUCACCACUGCCACCACCACCACCACCAUCAGGAGCACAGAUUCACUGAAGUCUCUACCAAGAUUUCUUUGAGUUUUUUGAUAAAUUUAACUUCCAGGAGAGAGAGAGAUGCUGAUUGUUAAAGGCAGUGUGUGAAGCCUGCCCACUGUCUUUGUAUAUACAGAAGGUGGAAUUUGAGUCGGCCAAGCCUCAGAAAUGCAGGAAGGAUUAGCGGUGAUGACUGCAGGCUGCCAUCGACCCGCAGGUGUGAUGGUGCCCGACCAGCUGGUACACAUCAGUGAGAUGGUGGUGGUGCUGGAAAACAGCUGGUUUGCCAAGUGCAGCGUCAGGCAGGCCGCCCGCCCACACAGUCACCAGAAGGAUCACAGGUCAUCACAGGAAUCAAAUGCAGCAUCAGUAUGGCUCACCAAACACUUCCCCUCACACUGGUGGUGUUGACCUGCCUUGUGAACACCUGAUCUCCUGUGCUCCUGUCCUUCACAGCUCUCCAGGUGACAUCAGAUGUGGAUGAGGGGACAAGAGAGCCAGUGUUCCAAGUACCACCACCAUCACCACUGCCACCACCACCACCACCAUCAGGAGCACAGAUUCACUGAAGUCUCUACCAAGAUUUCUUUGAGUUUUUUGAUAAAUUUAACUUCCAGGAGAGAGAGAGACAGAGAUGAUUGUUACUGGCAGUGUGUGAAGCCUGCCCACUGUCUUUGUAUAUACAGAAGGUGGAAUUUGAGUCGGCCAAGCCUCAGAAAUGCAGGAAGGAUUAGCGGUGAUGACUGCAGGCUGCCAUCGACCCGCAGGUGUGAUGGUGCCCGACCAGCUGGUACACAUCAGUGAGAUGGUGGUGGUGCUGGAAAACAGCUGGUUUGCCAAGGGCAGCGCCAGGCAGGCUGCCUGCCCACACAGUCACCAGAAGGAUCACGGGUAAGGCAGAGAGGGGAGAGGCAUGACAGGGUGAUAUUGAGAGAGAGAGAGAGAGAGAGAGAGAGAGAGAUUGAGAUUGUGUGAUUAUAAAGUAGAAAGGAUGAAAGUGUUAGUCUGUGUGUGCAAGAGGAACAGAGAUAGAUUAUUCCUUCUGCUGGUCUGGCUUUCUACUGUCUAUUUGUCUGGUAUAAUGUCUAUAUUUAUAUUAUUCCUGCUGGUCUGGUCUAUUUAUAUUAUUGCUCCUGCUGAAUCCACUAUUUUUCUCCACUAAUGUAUUAUUCCACUAUGAUAUUCCAAUGACAGAUUUCAGUUCUUCAGUAUUUUGAGCAGUUCUGAAGUUCCAGUGACAGGUAUAACUUCCUCACCAGAUUUAUCAGUGGUGUGUUGAGAUGUUCCACUGACAGGUAUAGCUGCAUCUGACUCACCAAUACUUUGCUGUAAGGUUCCAUUCACAGGUAAAGCCUCAUCAGACACAACACAGAGUGCAGCUUCUUCUGAGAUACCAGUGGUCUGAAGUGAAGCUGCAAGAAGUUUUCCCAGCACAGAUCUUCACUUACAUUUCUGUUGCCAGCACAUCUCCCGUCAGGUCUUGGGAGCACCGGGUGUUGUUCGGCAGGAAGGAGGCCAGGUUGUUAGGGCACGGCCUCACCCCACUGUCGCACACACCCACAGGCAUGAGGGGUGCCAGCCAGCAGGCCACGUCCCCAACACAGCUCCCACCUGCAUCCUGACCUCAUUCAGCAUCAACACCAGCCACACAGAAAAGUGAUGCUCCUGCAACAGCUGACGUUUACCUUUGCCAGUCACCUCGUCCAUGCUGAACUGCUCCACCAGCACCUUUGAAGCAGCUGUCCUACAUCCUCCUGGAAGCAACAGCAUACAGUCAUCACAGGAAUCAAAUGCAGCAUCAGUAUGGCUCACCAAACACUUCCCCUCACACUGGUGGUGUUGACCUGCCUUGUGAACACCUGAUCUCCUGUGCUCCUGUCCUUCACAGCUCUCCAGGUGACAUCAGCUGAGUGCAGCUGUCGGUGACUGCAGGAAUGGACCUCAGAUGGUGGAUACAGCAUUACCAAGUCAAGAAGGAGACACUGUGAUGUGGCUGCAGGUGGAUAGAUACCAGGAUAUGUGACCACCAGCACCACCACCACCACCAUUGGAGAUGCCCCUCCCUAGUUGCACAUUACGGCCCUGUUGUGUACCCUGGUGGCCUUCAUAGUUGACCGCUGAGUGCAGCUGUCAGUGACUGCAGGAAUGGACCUCAGAUGGUGGACACAGCAUUACCAAGUCAAGAAGUUGUCCAGUAUUUUAUCUCUGCUCUCAAACAAGCAAUGACCAGUGGUGGUGUUGUUCAUGUCUGGCUUGUGUGUGUGUGUGUGUGUGUGUGUGUGUGUGUGUGUGUGUGUGUGUGAGUUUGUUCACCCAUUAUGAUUUGAAGAGAUUGUGUUUGUAUUUUUAUUGUGGUACUCUGUGAUUAUACUUUGAAAUUA